GUGUUGGCCGUGUUAUCGCGGCCAAAAGUGGAAAAACACGGCUAGAUAAAAUGAACGCGGCUUCAUUAUUUAUAUAAGGCCGUGUAGGUUCUAAAAUAAGGUGGUGCUACUUACAACAGACAGCAUUUCUUUAUAUUUACGUCGUAAGAAAGUUUGUAAAAUCUACUGUUAAUUGUUGUUGAAAUUGGCAAAAGUGAUCCGUGAUGUUUUACUGUUUUGAUGGAUAAUGGGAACUGUAUGGUGUUAAAAUGGUU